CCGUAGGUGAACCUGCGGAGGGAUCAUUACCGAGUUUACAACUCCCAAACCCCUGUGAACAUACCUAUACGUUGCCUCGGCGGAUCAGCCCGCGCCCCGUAACAAGGGACGGCCCGCCCGAGGACCCCUAAACUCUGUUUUUAGUGGAACUUCUGAGUAAAACAAACAAAUAAAUCAAAACUUUCAACAACGGAUCUCUUGGUUCUGGCAUCGAUGAAGAACGCAGCAAAAUGCGAUAAGUAAUGUGAAUUGCAGAAUUCAGUGAAUCAUCGAAUCUUUGAACGCACAUUGCGCCCGCCAGUAUUCUGGCGGGCAUGCCUGUUCGAGCGUCAUUUCAACCCUCAAGCUCAGCUUGGUGUUGGGACUCGCGGUAACCCGCGUUCCCCAAAUCGAUUGGCGGUCACGUCGAGCUUCCAUAGCGUAGUAAUCAUACACCUCGUUACUGGUAAUCGUCGCGGCCACGCCGUAAAACCCCAACUUCUGAAUGUUGACCUCGGAUCAGGUAGGAAUACCCGCUGAACUUAAGCAUAUCAAUAAGCGGAGGAA
rnacentral:rRNA from 1 species